rnacentral:rRNA from 1 species
AUGAACGCUGGCGGCGUGCCUAAUACAUGCAAGUCGAGCGAACAGACGAGGAGCUUGCUCCUCUGACGUUAGCGGCGGCCGGGUGAGUAACACGUGGAUAACCUACCUAUAAGACUGGGAUAACUUCGGGAAACCGGAGCUAAUACCGGAUAAUAUAUUGAACCGCAUGGUUCAAUAGUGAAAGACGGGUUGGCUGUCACUUAUAGAUGGAUCCGCGCCGCAUUAGCUAGGUGGUAAGGUAACGGCUUACCAAGGCGACGAUGCGUAGCCGACCUGAGAGGGUGAUAGGCCACCCUGGAGCUGGACCAGGGUCAAGACUACUACGGGACGCCGCAGUCGGCUACCUUCCGCAAUAGGCGAAAGCAUGGCGGAACAACGGCGCGUGAGAGAUGAAGGUGUUCCGAUCGUAAAACUCUGUUAUUAGGGAAGAACAGAUGUGUAAGUAACUAUGCACGUCUUGACGGUAACUAAUAAGAAAGCAACGGCUAACUACGUG